rnacentral:rRNA from 1 species
UGGGGAAUAUUGCGCAAUGGGCGAAAGCCUGACGCAGCGACGCCGCGUGAGGGAUGAAGGUUUUCGGAUCGUAAACCUCUGUCAGAAGGGAAGAAACCGCACUGUGCUAAUCAGCAGUGCCUUGACGGUACCUUCAAAGGAAGCACCGGCUAACUCCGUGCCAGCAGCCGCGGUAAUACGGAGGGUGCAAGCGUUAAUCGGAAUUACUGGGCGUAAAGCGCACGUAGGCUGCUUUGUAAGUCAGGGGUGAAAUCCCACGGCUCAACCGUGGAACUGCCUUUAAUACUGCUUAGCUUGAAUCCGGGAGAGGGUGGCGGAAUUCCAGGUGUAGGAGUGAAAUCCGUAGAUAUCUGGAGGAACAUCAGUGGCGAAGGCGGCCACCUGGACCGGUAUUGACGCUGAGGUGCGAAAGCGUGGGGAGCAAACAGG